UUCCAAGCACUACUUCAGCAGACGUACAUUGAUUCCUUUGUCGACACGCCAAGUAAAUCCAAACGAAUCUUCUAUUGAAUAGAAGAAAAAUCAUACCUUUAUUAUC